GGGCACUAGUGUGAUCUGGCUGUGACAUCUACCACUCUACUGACCCCAAGGGUUGAUUUGUCUAAUGUGAUUGGGUAGCAACCUAUCCCCUUCAUCUCUUAAGAGUCCAUGUGGAUCCUUCUAGAAGCUUCUUUCUCAGUAUACAUGGAGCAGUGAUCCUCCACCUAUGGGUUGAGUCUGAUUCAGGAGGAGUUGAUUAACCCUUUCACUGCCUCACAUUUUAGAUACUCUACACAGCAGAUUUUUAUAAUUUGGUUCAUAAUC
ensembl:misc_RNA 7SK 7SK RNA